AUCAUUUUAGUGAAUAAUUACUUCUCCAAGAAGUGCAGUGAAUAUUUGCUUCUCCAUGAAGUGUUUGGUCUGCAGUAACAUCCAGAUACUGGCUGGACAAGAGAGUAGUUGAUAAGACCCCCAAUAUUUAAUUGGAGGUGGGGAUGGGGAGAUCUUACUAUUAACCUACCAUAAGUACCAGAAUGAUUUUAUUGGUUGAUAAGAAGUUAAUGACAUAAUGUUGAUCUCAAGGAGAUGUCCUAAAUAAUUUGAGUUAUUUAACCUAAAGACUGGUUAUUUGUUUAAUAAGUUUCUUAUUGGUUCGUCUGCUUCUCAGAGAGUACAAUAAGUUGUUUAAUGUAUUAUUUUGUAUUGUGAUAUUAAACUUCUUUAUAUUCUUUCAUUCUUAA